AGUGAACGCUGGCGGUAGGCCUAACACAUGCAAGUCGAACGGCAGCACAGUAAGAGCUUGCUCUUACGGGUGGCGAGUGGCGGACGGGUGAGGAAUACAUCGGAAUCUACUUUUUCGUGGGGGAUAACGUAGGGUAACUUACGCUAAUACCGCAUACGACCUACGGGUGAAAGCAGGGGAUCUUCGGACCUUGCGCGAUUGAAUGAGCCGAUGUCGGAUUAGCUAGUUGGCGGGGUAAAGGCCCACCAAGGCGACGAUACGUAGCUGGUCUGAGAGGAUGAUCGGCCACACUGGAACUGAGACACGGUCCAGACUCCUACGGGAGGCAGCAGUGGGGAAUAUUGGACAAUGGGCGCAAGCCUGAUCCAGCCAUACCGCGUGGGUGAAGAAGGCCUUCGGGUUGUAAAGCCCUUUUGUUGGGAAAGAAAAGCAGCAUGAUUAUAUCUCGCUGUUCUGACGGUACCCAAACAGAAAGCACCGGCUAACUUCGUG
rnacentral:rRNA from 1 species